AAACAAACACCUUAUCGACUUUUUCUAUAGACCGUCUAUAGACUGCGAGUAGACAAAAAGAAAUAGAAACCUUAUCGACUUUCGUCUAUAGAAAGUCUAUAGACAAAGUAUGGACAAAAAUAGAGUCUGUGUCGAUUUUCGUCUGUAGGUAUUCUAUAGAGGGGAAGCAGACAAAAAAGA
rnacentral:lncRNA from 1 species